GACUCCGUGGUGAAAUUCAUGGUGAGUUGCAAGCUCAUUGAUGCACAUUAGAGGUGUGCCGGGGUCU
rnacentral:tRNA from 1 species